rnacentral:rRNA from 1 species
GCUGGCGGCACGCCUAACACAUGCAAGUCGAACGAAGUAGCAAUACUUAGUGGCAGACGGGUGAGUAACAUGUAGGUAUCUACCCUAUGGCCUGGAAUAACACGAGGAAACUUGUGCUAAUACUGGAUAAGUCUUUACGGAGAAAGCUUUAUGCACCAUUGGAUGAGCCUGCACUUGAUUAGUUUGUUGGUAGGGUAAUGGCCUACCAAGACUGUGAUCAAUAGCUGAUUUGAGAGGAUGAUCAGCCACAUUGGGACUGAGACACGGCCCAAACUCCUACGGGAGGCAGCAGUGGGGAAUCUUGCACAAUGGAGGAAACUCUGAUGCAGCGAUGCCGCGUGAGUGAAGAAGGCCCUUGGGUUGUAAAGCUCUUUCGUCGGGGAAGAAAAUGACUGUACCCGAAUAAGAAGGUCCGGCUAACUUCGUGCCAGCAGCCGCGGUAAUACGAAGGGACCUAGCGUAGUUCGGAAUUACUGGGCUUAAAGAGUUCGUAGGUGGUUGAAAAAGUUGGUGGUGAAAUCCCAGAGCUUAACUCUGGAACUGCCAUCAAAACUUUUCAGCUAGAGUAUGAUAGAGGAAAGCAGAAUUUCUAGUGUAGAGGUGAAAUUCGUAGAUAUUAGAAAGAAUACCAAUUGCGAAGGCAGCUUUCUGGAUCAUUACUGACACUGAGGAACGAAAGCAUGGGUAGCGAAGAGGAUUAGAUACCCUCGUAGUCCAUGCCGUAAACGAUGUGUGUUAGACGUUGGAAAUUUAUUUUCAGUGUCGCAGUGAAAACGAUAAACACACCGCCU